UUGGAGGUGUUCAAGGUGAAUUGGAUGGGGCUUGGAGCUGGUGGAACGUGUCCCUGCCCAUGGCAGGAGAUUGGAACUAGAUGGUCUUCAAGGUCCCCUUACAAUCCAAAGACUCUGUGAUUCUAUGAAAAAAAGAAAAAUCCCCAAAUCAAAACUCUGGAUGAAAUUUGAAGGGGGAUGUGGUGGGGGCAGAGGGAGGCUGCCAAUGCCUCCCUUGAGGGAGCAGUGACAGCUCCUUGAGGAACUGACUGAAGAUCUGGCAGCAGGACAGUGUCCCCAGCAGUGGGACAGGAUACCUGGCAGUGGGACAGUGCCCCCAGCAGUGGGACAGGGUCCUCGUGGCGCUGCUCCCUGGAGCUGGCAGCUGCUCCCCUCACUGGGCAGGCAGCCUGGGCCAGGCAGCCCUGCUGGGGCGAAGAGCUGCUGCAUCUGCUCAACAGAAGAAUUGCUGCUUUUGGGACUUGGAGAUUAUUUAUCUUAGCUGUCAUAAAUCCUUCAGGACUACAUUGAAAGGGAAACUGGGGAAAGGAUCCUCCAGCUCCUGCAGGUGCUGAAGAGCUGGGCUGGCAGGGUUGCUCCCGAGGCGUCUGUGGCCACACGCCCUCCUCCUCUCCUGCUGCUGUGCAAGACAGACACGGGACUUUUCCUGAGCAGCCGUUCGGCGCACGCAGGAGUGAGGCUGGGGACCUGCAUGAGCAAAGUGCGUGAGGAUGGGAAGGAUCCUCCUUCCUGGGACCCCACUGCCAUUUCUUCUGCUCCCUAGUGGUCCAUGCAGAGCAGGGAGGUGGGAGGGGUGUGAUCAAAACUUCUUGAUUGUUCUCUCUUGAAAGUGUUUCCUGGUGCCUAGUGGUAAAACCCAACACAACCACGAGAAGCCAUGAAAUCAUAAUGAAACAUCUCAAGGGACUUGCUGUGAGCUGCUCUUACCUGCUGGGAGAGGCGCCUGGUCC